UACGAAGGGGGCUAGCGUUGCUCGGAAUCACUGGGCGUAAAGCGCACGUAGGCGGAUUGUUAAGUCAGGGGUGAAAUCCUGGAGCUCAACUCCAGAACUGCCUUUGAUACUGGCGAUCUUGAGUUCGGGAGAGGUGAGUGGAACUGCGAGUGUAGAGGUGAAAAUUCGUAGAUAUUCGCAAGAACACCAGUGGCGAAGGCGGCUCACUGGCCCGAUACUGACGCUGAGGCACGAAAGCGUGGGGAGCAAACAGGG
rnacentral:rRNA from 1 species